rnacentral:ncRNA from 1 species
AAAUGGGAUUAGAUACCCCAGUAGUCCUAGCCGUAAAUGAUGGAUACUAAGUGCUAUGCGUAUCGACCCGCACAGUGCUGUAGCUAAUGCGUUAAGUAUCCCGCCUGGGGAGUACGUUCGCAAGAAUGAAACUCAAAGGAAUUGACGGGGGGCCGCACAAGUGGUGGAGCAUGUGGUUUAAUUCGAUGCAAAGCGAAGAACCUUACCAGGGAUUGACAUGCUCUGAAUCCUCCUGAAAGAGAGGAGUGCCUUCGGGAACGCAGACACAAGUGGUGCAUGGCUAUCGUCAGCUCGUGCCAUAAGGUGUUGGGUUAAGUCCCGCAACGAGCACAACCCUCGUGUUUAGUUGCCAGCAUUGAGUUUGGAACCCUGAAUAGACUGCCGGUGAAAAGCCGGAGGAAGGUGAGGAUGAUGUCAAGUCAUCAUGCCCCUUACGCCCUGGGCGACACACAUGCUACAAUGACCGGGACAAAGGGUCGCGACCCCGCGAGGGCAAUCUAACCUCAAAAACCUGGCCUCAAAUUGGAUUGCAGGCUGCAACUCACCUGCAUGAAGCCGAAAUCACUAAUAAUCACCGGUCAGCCAUACGACGGUGAAUCCGUUCCCGGGCCUUGUACACACCGCCUGUCACACUAUGGGAGCUGGACAUGCCCCAAGUUGUUAUCUUAACCGCAAGGAGGGGGAUGCCGAAGGCUGGGCUAGUGACUGGAGUGAUGUCGUAACAAGGUAGCCGUACUAGAAGGUGCAGCUGGAUCACCUCCUUU